rnacentral:rRNA from 1 species
UACGGGGGGGGCAAGCGUUGUUCGGAAUUACUGGGCGUAAAGGGCGCGUAGGCGGCCAGACAGAGUCGAGCGUUAAAUUCCAGGGCUUAACCCUGGGCUGUUGCUCGAUACUAGUCGGCUAGAGUGUGGAAGAGGGUGCUGGAAUUCCCGGUGUAGCGGUGAAAUGCGUAGAUAUCAGGAGGAACACCGGUGGCGAAGGCGGGUCUCUGGGCAGUAACUGACGCUGAGGAGCGAAAGCGUGGGGAGCGAACAGG